rnacentral:tRNA from 2 species
GCCUGGCUAGCUCAAUCGGUAGAGCAUUUGACUCUUAGAAACAUUAGUCAUCAAAAGGUUGCGGGUUCGAGCCCCGCGUUGGGCU